AACGAACGCUGGCGGCGCGCCUAAUACAUGCAAGUCGAGCGAGAAGGUGUAGCAAUACACUUGUAAAGCGGCGAACGGGUGAGGAAUACAUGGGUAAUCUACCAUCGAGUGGGGAAUAACCAACCGAAAGGUUGGCUAAUACCGCGUACGCCUCCGAGUCUUCGGGUUCGGAGGGAAAGCUGCACUGUGAGUGUAGCGCUCUUUGAUGAGCUCAUGUCCUAUCAGCUUGUUGGUAGGGUAACGGCCUACCAAGGCUUUGACGGGUAGCUGGUCUGAGAGGACGAUCAGCCACACUGGCACUGCGACACGGGCCAGACUCCUACGGGAGGCAGCAGUAAGGAAUAUUGCGCAAUGGGCGAAAGCCUGACGCAGCGACGCCGCGUGGGGGAUGAAGGUCUUCGGAUUGUAAACCCCUUUCGGGAGGGAAGAUGGAACGAGCAAUCGUUCGGACGGUACCUCCAGAAGCAGCCACGGCCAACUUCGUGCCAGCAGCCGC
rnacentral:rRNA from 1 species